rnacentral:rRNA from 1 species
AUUGAACGCUGGCGGCAGGCUUAACACAUGCAAGUCGAGCGGAGAUGAGGUGCUUGCACCUUAUCUUAGCGGCGGACGGGUGAGUAAUGCUUAGGAAUCUGCCUAUUAGUGGGGGACAACAUUCCGAAAGGAAUGCUAAUACCGCAUACGUCCUACGGGAGAAAGCAGGGGAUCUUCGGACCUUGCGCUAAUAGAUGAGCCUAAGUCGGAUUAGCUAGUUGGUGGGGUAAAGGCCUACCAAGGCGACGAUCUGUAGCGGGUCUGAGAGGAUGAACCGCCACACUGGGACUGAGACACGGCCCAGAAUCCUACGGGAGGCAGCAGUGGGGAAUAUUGGACAAUGGGGGGAACCCUGAUCCAGCCAUGCCGCGUGUGUGAAGAAGGCCUUAUGGUUGUAAAGCACUUUAAGCGAGGAGGAGGCUACUGAGACUAAUACUCUUGGAUAGUGGACGUUACUCGCAGAGUAAGCACCGGCUAACUCUGUGCCAGCCGCCGCAGUAACAC